AAGAAAAGUACUAGAUCGCUGUUGCAUAAAGGUGCCUUUUCAUGCAGCGAUUUUUUAGCGAGUAGCGAAUAAUUCGCCGCGAAGUGGCGAAUCAUUCGCCACGAAUAGUUUGUGAGCGUCACGUCUGUAUGGUUGCAUGUCAACAAUAGAAAAUCUUGAAAUCUUUGUAAUGGACGACGAGUCGGUUAUAAACUGGACUUGGUAUAACCACCAACUGCAGUGGUUAUUGCAUAUGUACAAUAUGUACAAUAAGCAAAUUAUUAUUAUAUUGUACA